AUUGAACGCUGGCGGCAUGCCUUACACAUGCAAGUCGAACGGCAGCACGGGAGCAAUCCUGGUGGCGAGUGGCGAACGGGUGAGUAAUAUAUCGGAACGUGGCCCAGUCGUGGGGAUAACGUAGCGAAAGCUACGCUAAUACCGCAUACGAUCUAUGGAUGAAAGCGGGGAUCGCAAGACCUCGCGCGAUUGGAGCGGCCGAUAUCAGAUUAGGUAGUUGGUGAGGUAAAGGCUCACCAAGCCGGACGAUCUGUAGCUCGGUCUGGAGAGGACGACCAGCCACACUGGGACUGAGACACGGCCCAGACUCUACGGAGGCAGCAGUGGGGAAUUUUCGGACAAUGGGCGCGAAGCCUGAUCCAGCCAGUGCCGCGUGCGAGAGUGACGGUCC
rnacentral:rRNA from 1 species